ACAGACUCCUACGGGAGGCAGCAGUGAGGACUCUUGGUCAAUGGUCUGCCGCCUGAACCCGCCCCGUCGCGUGCGGGCAUAAGGCCCUACGGGUCGUAAACCUCUUUUGCCGGGGAGCAAGGGCGGGGCCGUGUCCCGGCCCGGCGAGUACCCGGAGAAAAAGCAUCGGCUAACUCCGUGCCAGCAGCCGCGGUAAUACGGAGGAUGCGAGCGUUAUCCGGAUUUAUUGGGGGUAAAGGGUGCGUAGGCGGGCUUUUAAGGCGGCGGUAAAAAGUCGGGGCUCAACCCCGGCCGGCCGUUGAAACUGGGGGCCUUGAGUGGGCGAGAAGAAGGCGGAAGGCGUGGUGGAGCGGUGAAAUGCAGAGAGAUCACGCAGAACCCCGAUUGCGAAGGCAGCGUACCGGCGCCCGACUGACGCGGAAGCACGAAAGCGGGGGGAUCGAACAGGAGGAGAUACCCCAGUAGAG
rnacentral:rRNA from 1 species